rnacentral:rRNA from 1 species
CCCUUAGAUGUUCUGGGCCGCACGCGCGCUACACUGACGAAUGCAACGAGCUUAUAACCUUGGCCGAAAGGUCUGGGUAAUCUCCAAAUUUCGUCGUGAUGGGGAUAGAUUAUUGCAAUUAUUAAUCUUCAACGAGGAAUGCCUAGUAAGCGCAAGUCAUCAGCUUGCGUUGAUUACGUCCCUGCCCUUUGUACACACCGCCCGUCGCACCUACCGAUUGAAUGGUCCGGUGAAAUCUCCGGACUGGCGUGAGUCGGAGCAAUCUGACAAACGCCGGAAAGUUGAUUAAACCUUACCAUUUAGAGGAAGGUGAANUCGUANCA